rnacentral:rRNA from 1 species
GUCUCAGUUCGGAUUGUAGUCUGCAACUCGACUACAUGAAGCUGGAAUCGCUAGUAAUCGCGAAUCAGAAUGUCGCGGUGAAUACGUUCCCGGGUCUUGUACACACCGCCCGUCACACCAUGGGAGUCAGUAACGCCCGAAGCCGGUGACCCAACCGAUAAGGAGGGAGCCGUCGAAGGUGGGACCGAUAACUGGGGUGAAGUCGUAACAAGGUACC